rnacentral:tRNA from 1 species
GGCGUGCUGGCGCGGCGGCGCCGGUGAGGGUGCUGUUCCUGCCGGGCGGCGACGGCGACGCGACGACGUUCGACGCGCUGCUCGCCC